rnacentral:rRNA from 1 species
UGGGGAAUAUUGCACAAUGGGCGCAAGCCUGAUGCAGCCAUGCCGCGUGUGUGAAGAAGGCCUUCGGGUUGUAAAGCACUUUCAGCGGGGAGGAAGGCGUUAAGGUUAAUAACCUUGGCGAUUGACGUUACCCGCAGAAGAAGCACCGGCUAACUCCGUGCCAGCAGCCGCGGUAAUACGGAGGGUGCAAGCGUUAAUCAGAAUUACUGGGCGUAAAGCGCACGCAGGCGGUCUGUCAAGUCGGAUGUGAAAUCCCCGGGCUCAACCUGGGAACUGCAUUCGAAACUGGCAGGCUAGAGUCUUGUAGAGGGGGGUAGAAUUCCAGGUGUAGCGGUGAAAUGCGUAGAGAUCUGGAGGAAUACCGGUGGCGAAGGCGGCCCCCUGGACAAAGACUGACGCUCAGGUGCGAAAGCGUGGGGAGCAAACAGG